AAAAUACGGAGUUUGAUCGUGGCUCAGAUUGAACGCUGGCGGCAUGCCUAACACAUGCAAGUCGAACGGUAGCAGGCCUUCGGGUGCUGACGAGUGGCGGACGGGUGAGUAAUGCGUAGGAAUCUGUCUUUUAGUGGGGGACAACCCAGGGAAACUUGGGCUAAUACCGCAUGAGCCCUGAGGGGGGAAAGCGGGGGGAUCUUCGGACCUCGCGCUAAGAGAAGAGCCUACGUCUGAUUAGCUAGUUGGUAGGGUAAAGGCCUACCAAGGCGACGAUCAGUAGCUGGUCUGAGAGGACGACCAGCCACACUGGGACUGAGACACGGCCCAGACUCCUACGGGAGGCAGCAGUGGGGAAUUUUUCGCAAUGGGGGCAACCCUGACGAAGCAAUGCCGCGUGGAUGAAGAAGGCCUCGGUUGUAAGUA
rnacentral:rRNA from 1 species